AACGAACGCUGGCGGCAUGCCUAACACAUGCAAGUCGAACGAGACCUUCGGGUCUAGUGGCGCACGGGUGCGUAACGUGUGGGAACCUGCCCUUAGGUUCGGAAUAACUCCCCGAAAGGGGUGCUAAUACCGGAUAAUGUCUUCGGACCAAAGAUUUAUCGCCUUUGGAUGGGCCCGCGUUGGAUUAGCUAGUUGGUAGUGUAAAAGCCUACCAAGGCGACGAUCCAUAGCUGGUCUGAGAGGAUGAUCAGCCACACUGGGACUGAGACACGGCCCAGACUCCUACGGGAGGCAGCAGUGGGGAAUAUUGGACAAUGGGCGAAAGCCUGAUCCAGCAAUGCCGCGUGAGUGAUGAAGGCCUUAGGGUUGUAAAGCUCUUUUACCCGGGAUGAUAAUGACAGUACCGGGAGAAUAAGCGCCGGCUAACUCCGUG
rnacentral:rRNA from 1 species